rnacentral:rRNA from 1 species
UGGGGAAUAUUGCACAAUGGGGGAAACCCUGAUGCAGCGACGCCGCGUGAGCGAAGAAGGUGUUUGAAUCUUAAAGCUCUGUCCUUUGGGAAGAUAAUGACGGUACCAUAGGAGGAAGCCCCGGCUAACUACGUGCCAGCAGCCGCGGUAAUACGUAGGGGGCAAGCGUUGUCCGGAAUCACUGGGCGUAAAGGGUUCGCAGGCGGAAAUGCAAGUCAGUUGUGAAAGGCAGAGGCUCAACCUCUGUAAGCAAUUGAAACUGUAUUUCGUGAGAGGUGGAGAGGCAAGUGGAAUGCCUAGUGGAGCGGUGAAAUGCGUAGAUAUUAGGAAGAAUACCGGUGGCGAAGGCGACUUGCUGGACACAAACUGACGCUGAGGAACGAAAGCGUGGGUAGCAAACAGG